AGUCAAAUGGCUAGUGUGUGGAAAACCUUUUGUAUAGCCUUCAUGUAGUUCAAGUCCUUCCAAACAGAAGUGGAAGGUGUUGAAGUAGGAAGAGAUGGAGAGUGUGUUCCACUGGGCUAUGGGCAUUGCACCAGGCAGUGAAAAAUGCCAUGAAGAAAACGGAGUUCUCAAGGUGCAGACUGGAAGACUGUGACUCUGAGGGUGCACUCCUUUACACAAGGUGGUCUCUCUGAGGAGAUGCCAGCAGAGAGAACACAAGCAGGAGGAAUGGGAGAGGGAGAAGCAGGCUCCCUGCUGAGCAGAGGGCUCAAUGCAUGGCUUGAUCCCAGGACCCUGGGAUCAUGACCUGAGCUGAAGGCAGACGCUUAACUGACUUAGCCACCCAGGUGCCCCUUAAUUUGCGUUUCUGUCACUAGUAUUGAUGUUGAGUAAUUUUUCACAUGCUUAUUGGUCAUUUGGAUAUCUUGUUUUGUGAAGUGUUGUUGCAAGCCUUUUGCUCAUAUUUUAAAAUCUGGUUACCCCUACUGCUUUGUAGGAGUUCAAACAUAUUCUAGUUUACAAGUCCUUUGUUGGGUAUAUCUGUUGCAAGUAUCCUCUCCCACUGACACUUGCCUUUCUCUCUUUUAAUGAUGUCAUAUGAAGUUCUUUAUUUUAACAGAAUCAAAUUUAUUGGCAUUCAGUUCUAAUCUUUUCCCUUAUUGUCCCAGCCUCACUGAUUUCUUUUCAGCCCCAUCCCUGUAUCGGGAGCUGCUUUAGUCCUUUUUGCCUUGCUGUUUCCAUCUGAUAAGAGAGAGGAAGGGUAGUUCUUCAUUUUGGAUCCCAUAAAUGCAGUUUAUUUAUAAAGGUGAAUAAUGUACAAUAUUUUAGUUCAGAUUCCCAUUUCCAUUUAGCUGUCAUCAAGAUCUGGGUGACAACUGUAAAAACACAGAGUGAAACUCAUCUCUUUGAACACCAUACUGAGCUGCCUACACCAGACCCACCCCAGUUGUAAUCUGCCCCUCUCUCUGCCCCCCACCCCCAGUGUCCAUUCAUCCCUGUUGCUAUUUGAUUUUGCUUUAACCAUUGUUGCUUCUCUUGGCAGAGACACCUGCCCUCCAGCACUGUUCCACAGUCCUUGAAGUUGGAAAGUACUUUCCCUUCUCAUGAUUCCAGCGAGCUGUGGGUGACCCAGACUUUCAGUGACCAUCACUCUUUUGAGAGGCUCCCUAGCAGGCAGCUUAUCUCAUUCUUCGAGGUUCCAAGUCUGCCUUGCCAAGCAACUUCAAAAGAGUUUCCCUUGACCAAACUAGGAGACCUCUAAGUUCACUACUCUGGGCCAUUCUAAAGAAAAUAUUUUAUUUUGUUUUGUUUUAUUGAGAGAGUGCACACACAAGGCGGUGGUGGGACCGAGGGAGAGGGAGAGAGAGAAUCUUAAGCUGGCUCCAUGCUCAGCGUGAGUCAAAAUCAAGAGUCAGACACUUAACCGACUAAGCCACCAGGCACCCUUAGGAAAAUAUUUUAGAAUAGAAAGAUGGUUGUGCUGGUUUGAAUACUUUCCUAAAAUGAUUUUCUUUUGAAUACCUCCGACUUAUCCCCAUUGGCACAUCAGAUGGCUUCCCAGGCUCAUGUCAUUAUUCUGUCUCCAACGUGACUGCAGGUAACAAUCAGCCCAGGCAGAAAAAAAUGUGUCAAAACCAGCAAACAAAACCAGGUUUUGACAUCCCCAUAUUCUCAUAUUCCCAAAGCUGUACCUCUUGGCCACAUGUUCCAGAAGGCACCAACAAUAUCUGUUCUAAUUGACUAUCUUUCUUCAGCACAGUCGUGAAGAAAUAGGGCUCGAGUCCUUUUCUUCCUCUUUUCUCUCUCAUUUGUAGACAUGGAAUUGUGACAAAGCAUUUUUGUUUGAAAGAUUAAUUUUCUACUACUCAAGUGGAAUGUUUGCCCAAUGCACCCCGGUGCCAGCAGCCUCCGGGAGCCCUGUGCUAAGGGCUCAUUUUUUUGCUCAUUCUCUGGACAAUCAAACCAGUGUGUCAGAUGUGACAAGAGCACCCGACACCAAGAGAAGGACAGUGAUUGCUUUGCUGGAGAAAAAAUAAAAUGGACUUGUGUUUCAUAGGUAGCUUGGCCUCCUGGAAUUUAUGAAACAACAACUUCUGGUUCAUUUCCCUGGAUAAUUGAUGUUUUCUUCCUUUGGCGUUUUAAAAAAAAAUACAGAAACCUAUGUUUGAAAGAUAAAAUCCUUUUUUUGUUUUCUUUUCCAGGGUGUGAAGAUGGGAUUUUCCCACCACACCUUUCUUCUUCCCAGGAGCUAAUGCCAUAGGUUAAGUCUAGGAAAUACCUCAUCCAAACAUUGCAGGCUAAGGAGCAACCAGAGCCCAGAGUCUGGUGGUUUUGUUGGCUGCUGGUGGCUCUGCCGCUCCCUUAGGAGAUGAUGUGUAGUGUGUGGGCAGAUUUGGACUUCACGGCUUUAAAAAAUCCCCUUAACACGGAGGUUCCUGAAACCCAGGAGAUUUUCCAUCUGUCUCCUUUGCAGGAUUCCUGUUGGGGAGAGGCACAUCACACAGGCAUUUUGGAUGCCCAGAAUCACGUUUUGAAAACUCUGUUUAAUACAACAUGGAUUUAACUCUCCCAGUGAAUUUGUGCUUCUUGUUCAUUUCUAAGGGAAAUAAAAUCCUCAGACUUCUGCUUCACUGGAACCAAAGUCUUAGAGAUGUUACUUUCUAAGUAUCGUAUUUUGUAAGAGAGCCGUUGUUCAAGAAGACUUCUAAAAGAAAGAAAAUUUUAGGAAAAAUAUCUUAACGAAUGGCAACUGGAGGUUCAGUCCACCGUCUGCGACCGUGAAUUUGGAGUGCACUCUGAAAUUAACUAUGGGGUACUGCCAGGUUAGUUUGAAGGAGAGAAAACAAACAAAAGGAAAAAAAUGUUCAGAUAGCCUCUUGGUUCUUUUCAGCCCUUUCAUGGGGUUCUGAUUCCUUUCUAGGUGUAAGCUAUCCAUGUACCCGUGCUCAAAGGCAGAUGGCUCCUGCAGUUUCAAGUGGAACCUCUCCUUUCAGAAUAUAGUCUCUUUAUAAUUCUUCCAUCUGAACGGUCAUUAUUGGCUUUAUGAGAUAGCAUAUUUGGAAGGACUUAGGCUGGAGAAUUCAUUUCUUCGCCACUUCCUGUAGAAUCCUAAAUUUCUAAACUCCUCAAACUCAAUCAGAUCUUUGCUUUUACCCACCUUUAUAAUUUGAAAAUACGUAGUUAAGUUUUUUUUCUCCAAUGACUUCCACAAUCUUCCCAAUUUUGGCCCGUCUCAGUUCAGUUAUAAGGCGUAUGCAACUGGCACAGCUCGUUUAACCAGACAAAUGAAGGGCUUUUCUUAGAAUUGAGCAGACACUCUGAUGCAAGUUCUAAAAUCUGAAGAUCCUGCCUACUCCAUCUGAAACCCAAAUGAUCAGCCAAGCAAAAGGAUCCUCUUUAGCCAACAAAGAAUCCAAAUACUUUUCAUCCAGUAUGUGGAAAGCACAGACUGAGGAGGCACUGUUUACAUGG